rnacentral:rRNA from 1 species
UUGGAGGGCAAGUCUGGUGCCAGCAGCCGCGGUAAUUCCAGCUCCAAUAGCGUAUAUUAAAGUUGUUGCAGUUAAAAAGCUCGUAGUUGAAUUUCGGGAUCAAUAUGUUGGUCGUGCCUUGGUACGUACUAAUUUAUUGGUUUCUUCCUUCUGACGAACCAUGAUGUCAUUAAUUUGGUGUCUUGGGGAAUCAGGACUGUUACUUUGAAAAAAUUAGAGUGUUUAAAGCAGGCUCACGCUUGAAUACAUUAGCAUGGAAUAAUGAAAUAGGACGUUUGAUUCUAUUUUGUUGGUUUCUAGGAUCGACGUAAUGAUUAAUAGGGAUAGUUGGGGGCAUUAGUAUUCAAUUGUCAGAGGUGAAAUUCUUGGAUUUAUUGAAGACUAACUACUGCGAAAGCAUUUGCCAAGGAUGUUUUCAUUAAUCAAGAACGAAAGUUAGGGGAUCGAAGAUGAUCAGAUACCGUCGUAGUCUUAACCAUAAACUAUGCCGACUAGGGACCGGAUGAUGUUAAUUUUUUAAUGACUCAUUCGGCGCCUUACGGGAAAC